GAUGAACGCUGGCGGCGUGCCUAAUACAUGCAAGUCGAGCGAACAGACGAGGAGCUUGCUCCUCUGACGUUAGCGGCGGACGGGUGAGUAACACGUGGAUAACCUACCUAUAAGACUGGGAUAACUUCGGGAAACCGGAGCUAAUACCGGAUAAUAUAUUGAACCGCAUGGUUCAAUAGUGAAAGACGGUUUUGCUGUCACUUAUAGAUGGAUCCGCGCCGCAUUAGCUAGUUGGUAAGGUAACGGCUUACCAAGGCAACGAUGCGUAGCCGACCUGAGAGGGUGAUCGGCCACACUGGAAAUGAGACACGGUCCAGACUCCUACGGGAGGCAGCAGUAGGGAAUCUUCCGCAAUGGGCGAAAGCCUGACGGAGCAACGCCGCGUGAGUGAUGAAGGUCUUCGGAUCGUAAAACUCUGUUAUUAGGGAAGAACAAAUGUGUAAGUAACUAUGCACGGCUUGACGGUACCUAAUCAGAAAGCCACGGCUAACUACGUG
rnacentral:rRNA from 1 species